UCCUGGCUCAGAACGAACGCUGGCGGCGUGCCUAACACAUGCAAGUCGAGCGCGAAUGGAGCAAUCCUAGUAGAGCGGCGCACGGGUGCGUAACACGUGGAUAAUCUGCCUGGGUGUCUGGGAUAACCAGUCGAAAGAUUGGCUAAUACCGGAUAAGCCCCCGGGAGCUUCGGCUCUUGAGGGAAAAGGUGGCCUCUGUAUACAAGCUAUCACAUCCAGAUGAGUCCGCGGCCCAUCAGCUAGUUGGCGGGGUAAUGGCCCACCAAGGCAACGACGGGUAGCUGGUCUGAGAGGACGAUCAGCCACACUGGAACUGAGACACGGUCCAGACUCCUACGGGAGGCAGCAGUGGGGAAUUUUGCGCAAUGGGCGAAAGCCUGACGCAGCAACGCCGCGUGUGUGAUGAAGGUCUUUGGAUUGUAAAGCACUUUCGACCGGGACGAAAACCCGUUGGCUAACAUCCAACGGCUUGACGGUACCGGGAGAAGAAGCACCGGCUAACUCUGUGCCAGCAGCCGCGGUAAUACAGAGGGUGCAAGCGUUGUUCGGAAUUAUUGGGCGUAAAGCGCGUGUAGGCGGCUUUGCAAGUCGGAUGUGAAAGCCCUCGGCUCAACCGAGGAAGUGCGUUCGAAACUGCAGAGCUUGAGUACCGGAGAGGGUGGCGGAAUUCCCCAAGUAGAGGUGAAAUUCGUAGAUAUGGGGAGGAACACCGGUGGCGAAGGCGGCCACCUGGACGGUCACUGACGCUGAGACGCGAAAGCGUGGGUAGCAAACAGGAUUAGAUACCCUGGUAGUCCACGCCGUAAACGAUGAGAACUAGGUGUCGUGGGUGUUGACCCCCGCGGUGCCGUAGCUAACGCAUUAAGUUCUCCGCCUGGGAAGUACGGUCGCAAGACUAAAACUCA
rnacentral:rRNA from 1 species